rnacentral:rRNA from 1 species
GAGCGCAGGCGGGAAGACAAGUUGGAAGUGAAAACCAUGGGCUCAACCCAUGAAUUGCUUUACAAAACUGUUUUUCUUGAGUAGUGCAGAGGUAGAUGGAAUUCCCGGUGUAGCGGUGGAAUGCGUAGAUAUCGGGAGGAACACCAGUGGCGAAGGCGGUCUACUGGGCACCAACUGACGCUGAGGCUCGAAAGCAUGGGUAGCAAACA